AGGUCUGUAUUAGGUGAGCUUUGACUAUUAGGUUAGUUUGAGUCUGUCUGUUGCCUGGACCCUCGAGAUAAGACCCUUUCUCUCUUCUUGGUACAUCUCAGAUAUCAGCUAGUCAUGGCGGACAUAGAGGAAGUCGGGGAGGAGGAAGUGCAGGAAGGUAAGACACCAUGAAAUGAGUACCUGUUGCUUAAUCUUAGUUAUGCUUUCAUGGCAGUGAAAGCCGCCACAGUGAAAGUUUUGCACGCCGUUAACUUUGUUUCAUCUUGUGAGCAGAGCAUGUGCUAUUUUCGACUGGUAUCGUUUCACUUUAGACGCACAAGAAUUGUUUUUGUCCUCGGCUUCAUGUUCAAGAUGAGUGUGGAAUUUAAUUACUCAAGCACAACUGGUGCAACUAAUAUCAGUGGUGUAUGCAGGCUGACAUUGUUACGAGAAGUAUGUCCUGCCUGUGUCCAUUUCCUAUUGUCUCGGAUAUCAGACACCCCCCCCCCCCCACCGACUCUGCCCUCUUAAAUGCUGUCCAAAAUUGCCCAAGAAUCUAAAACAUUUGCUGCUUCUCUGUAAGGGUUUAUGAUGUUUAAAGGUGUGAUACAAAAUUACUUUCAAUUUAGUGUUAAAUGCCUAAUUUGGUCCGUGUGAUUAAACAUAGUUGAAAUGGUAUUGGAUUGUGCAAAGCGAAAUAUUAAUAAAAUGGUGUCCUUCACAAGCUGUUGAGUGUAUCUCAAUGUUCUGACAAAGUUGAUAAAUGAACAUGAAAUGAAGUCUCUUAAAUGGAUAAUUCACCCAAAAAUGAAAAUUCUAGCAUCAUUUACUCACCCACAUGCCAUCCCAGAUGUGUAUGACUUUCUUUCUUUAGAACACAAAUGAAGAUUUUUAGAAGAAUAUCUUACUCUGCUC